rnacentral:snRNA from 1 species
AUCGCUUCUCGGCCUUUUGGCUAAGAUCAAGUGUAGUAUCUGUUCUUAUCAGUUUCAGAUCAGAUAAUUGCUACUUGUGACGAAGCGGGGGGGGGCAUGAUGAAAGCGGAGAAGCUGUGCUCCCUUU